rnacentral:lncRNA from 1 species
CACGACCAGACAUCAACGGAUGAAUGGGAAGAAAGAAACCACGACCAGAUAUCUCUCGAUGAAUGGGAAGAAAGAAACCACGACCAGACAUCAACCAAUGAAUGGGAAGAAAGGAACCACGACCAGACAUCAACGGAUGAAUGGGAAGAAAGAAACCACGACCAGACAUCUCUCGGAUGAAUGGGAAGAAAGAAACCACGACCAGACAUCUCUCGAUGAAUGGGAAGAAAGAAACCA